UACGGGGGGAGCAAGCGUUGUUCGGAUUUACUGGGCGUAAAGGGCGCGUAGGCGGUCGUGACAAGUCACUUGUGAAAUCUCCGGGCUUAACUCGGAACGGUCAAGUGAUACUGUCGGACUAGAGUGCAGAAGGGGCAACUGGAAUUCUCGGUGUAGCGGUGAAAUUCGUAGAUAUCGGGAGGAACACCAGUGGCGAAAGCGGCGACCUGGGCCAAUAUUGACGCUGAGGUGCGAAAGCGUGGGGAGCAAACAGG
rnacentral:rRNA from 1 species